AAAUGUUACCCUCUGUUUGUUUUGUUGGGAGAAAAUAUAUUAUGUAGUUGAGCAUAAUAUUAAUUUAGAACAUUUCGCUAAUUCAUCUAGAGGACUUGUGAUACUUUCUUUAAAGAGGAAAGUAACUCGGCUAACUUUAUCACUUUGAUUUCAUCACGUAGGAAUUAUUUUAAAUUAAAAAAUGGUUUAUCACAACUCUGAAUUUAAUUCCAACGUAUAAUCACGUCGCUUGCAGGUUGUUACAUUUCAGACAGCAAAGUCCUAACUCCAACAGGAAAACUGGGAAAAUAAUCCAAGUAAACGAGUUGUUGUGAUGUGAUCCACGGUCCACCAUUCCGCUCCGCGUUCGUUUAAUUUUUCAUAAGCGUAGAGGAGAAUGUACUUUACCCCCCACCACCACGUUUGGGGCCAGCCCCAUGUUGGUUCGAGUGUGGGUCUGGGGCCACGACGAGACGUUCGCUCUUGACGACUACUACACACUGCUACAAACGCAGCCCAGCUCGCCUCACUCAGCCCAGCUGGAGUCAGUGAGCGCUCAGCUGUCCCAUUCACCUCCGCGAUCCUCCGCGACUUGACCGUGCUCGAAAAGAACUCUCCAGAACAAGUGUUGUUCGUCGCCGUUCUCAGUCCGCGUACUGCCAUGUGGUCCACCGGCUGGAAUACACGAGCCCAUCCAGCCGACACGGUCAAGCAUUCUGUGUUGAGAAACAGUCCAUUCAGAUCAUCCUGCUUGUGUUCGACUGGUAUUUGCACAAGACUUGGCCGUGCUUUCCUCUGCAUAAGUGGAAGCCGCGUCGCCGUGGACGUCUGGAGCCGGCUGCGAGGUGUGGGCGAGUCUCUCUACCUCCGCGGGACCCGCUGUGCCGUCUGCAGUUUAGCCAGUGGCAUCUCACGGUAACCAGCGUCAUCAGAGAUUAACGUCAGAUACGGCCUCUUUGGCUGCUGGGGGCUAGGGUUCAGGGGUUAGGUUCCCAUUCCCACUCAGUCCUUCACACAUUCGCAACACUUUCCACCACACGACCGGUACGACAGUCGCGGCGUAAAGAACGGAACGGGACUAAAGCGAGAGUCGCGACGGCGCGAGCGUGGUCGUCAAGCUCAUCGUUUUUGGAAGAGACUAAACAAAGUUGAAGAUGUUGGGGACGCCUUGGCUUGUUGGUAAUCAGCCCCGUUUUCCUGUUUCGUUUGACUUCGGAUUGUUUCCCCUCUCAUGACGGUUUUGUUCGCAGGAUAUGUACUCGCUCACCGCGGAGCGGACAGCAGGCAGCUGCUCGCUCUGUUCUGCUGACUUCAGCCGAGAAUAAGACGUUCUCUGCUCGGCUGCCGGCCGGACCUCGCCGUGACUCGGCCUGCUCGUCUCCCGCGGACAGCUGGACCAGCUCGUGGCAGCCGACCUCCUGACCACUGUUCGACUCGGACGCAGCCUGGGAGCGUGAAGCAGUGCAUCAACACGGCCUCGCCGCUGAGGGCCUCGCUCGCCCGUGUCUACGAAGUCGCCGCUGGAGGACCGCGUCGGCUGCGAGUUCAACACCACUUCAACUACCCGCACUGGUGACAGGCUGCUUGCCAGCAGAUUCCUGGUAUGUCGUUUACCGUGAAACGUUUGCUUCUCCAGUUGCUCUUCCAGUUCCAGGCCGUAGUUCCAGUUCCACUGCAGUCAGCAGCAGGUCACCGCGGACGUCAAGACACCAGGACACCAGGGCCAUCCCAACGCCCGCCAUGGAGGUCUGCUUUCAACAUGAACGCUGCUUUCGAUGUCUUCCCCUCAAGCAACCAGGACAACCAAUGCGCAGGGCGAGCGGUAGCACCACUGGAGUGAUGUGAUGAGGAGCUGUUCGACUGGCGUAGGGCAGGGAGAAGAUUGCAUCUCGACAUUGCUGCUCAACCAGAUCGAAGUCAUCCAACUUGGUGGCUGGACAAGACAACUAUUGACAUUAAUAUAUUUAAUUGUAUCACACGUAUCACAAUCGUAUCAUCAUCAUUCAUCUCAGAUUUCUUGACUUAUCUUGCCUUUUCUGUCUUGGAUCGUAGUAUAGACCUUGGUUUGUUGUUUUGGAUCGUAAUAGAACUUGGUUGUUGUCUUGGAUCGUAGUAUAGAGCAUGGUUUCUGUUGUCUUGGUUGUGUAUUGGUUCUUGUGUACUGGUCUUUACAUUUUGGUUGGAUUUUGCGGGUUUGGUGCUUGUAGUCUGUUGGGUCUAUAGAAAUUCUGUAAUCUCUCUCCCUCUCUAGCUUGACAUCAAAAUCAUCUUUGCACUCUCAUCAUAUCAUUUAAUCAUAGUAAAGAGCAAAACUGUAAAUUUAUUACUGUUCAAAAUGUUCAGCAUUUUUCAAAUCCAUUCGCAAUACUUCCUAUUUGCGUUAAAAAUGUUGUGAUUUCUUAAUUAGUAUUACGAAAUUUUUACAAUGAACUUGUGAAAUUUGAUUUUGACUGUAAAAUUUGAUGACUGUUCGCUGAUAAAAAAUGUGACACAAGUUUAUAACAUCUUUUUAUGGACUUAUGAAGAGUUAUCUUGGAGACUUAGAAUUUAAUAGCAUAAAAGCAUAAGUUUAGAUUAUCCUUAAUGUUUUAUGUAAAUAACCCCUCAGAGGGUAUGUUCUACAACUGAAAUUCACUUACUAGUGAAAGCGUACUGUCUUGUGUGGAAUUGUGUGCUCCUGGUCGGUCAACCUGUCAGCUAUUUUGUUGCUAUUUGCACACUGACACUGCCACACUGUUCAGGCAGAGAACGAAAUUGAAUUAAAUUGCUUGGUAGUUCUUUCAUCCUGAAACAUGUACAUAUUGGAAAUGCUUAUUUCAGUUACAAUACCCGAAUUGUAUAAAGGAAACGGAAAAUAAUCGAAUGUAUCUCUGAGAGGUUUUCCUGUUCCCUCGCCAAAUUGAGACGAGGUAAUUGCUAUUGCUUAAUGUAAGCUUGAGCUGUCUAUAAUUUUCAAGUCAAGUUCAGUUAUUAUAUUGCUUUUGAAAUUCCGCAUUAUAGAGAAGAAAUUUAACUGAUGAUCGUA